AUCGGAGGCAGUAUUAUUCCUGGGGCAUCCAAAAUAAAAGAAAAGGAAAAGACGCGAUAACCGAGAGCGGGAAAGAUCAGGGUUUUCCAAUCAAAUUUUGUAGAGGGAAGCUAAGAGGUUAAGGAAAACUAUUCUGUCUUUUUAAGGCUAAAGAAAGACAACUUCUGAAGAUGGCACUGAGAGCUGUAGGAAGACUCGUAUCUCAGAGGCUCUCCAGGGGAGCAUCUAGGAACUUUAAGUCGAAUGCAGUACCUUCUGAGAAUGAUCAGGUCAAGUCUGUGCAUAAGUGGGGCAGCAACGAGAUUUUGGAGGAACUCGAUGAACUCACCAUUGAUUGUAUGCAUCGGAGUGUAAUGCUUUUCUUCACCACUUCCUGACUGUUAUCGUAGGACAGUAUAUUACAUGUGAAAAGCAAAAAAGGCCAUACUAAUCAAAAUUAGUGACAAAACACCUAGGUGACCAACUUUGUGGUACAAAAAAUCCAGCCAUAAUAUUUUUAAUAAAUUAAAACAAUUUCAUAAAAAAGUGGCACAAAAAUCCCAGGUCAAAUAAUAAUGAUCAAAUUUAGUUUUGUCUACUUUAAAAAAAAAAAAACAUACCCUUUUAGCUUUUCUUCUUCUUCUUUUUUCUUCUUCUUUCUUCUCCUUCUCCCCACCACCAUCACUACCAGCGGCAAUAACAGAUCUCUACGCCAGCAGAAAUUUUAUGCUCCCCCGACCACACUACUGCGCCUCCGUAUCUCACCACUACCACCACCCUCCUCCGCCUCCUUCAAUUCCUUAACCAUCAACACCAUUACCACCACCACCCCCAACCUUAAUUAAAACCCUAACCAUAGUUUCAUUUUCAAAUUCAGAAGAAAACACAGGUGGAUCUGGUGAUGUUUUGAUAUUUCUGUAAGAUUAGAUGAAUAAAUUGUUGAAAUUAGGGUUGCGAUUGUAACUUCAAUUGAAGAACAGGGAUGGGUUGGUGACGAAUUGAUGAUUGAGAUCGAUUUUCAAGGAAGAGAUGACGGAGUGGUGAUGUCAAAUUUGAUAACCUAAUUUGUCUCAUCGGCGAUAGCGGUGAUGGAUUAUGAUGCAUAUGGAACUGGGUAAUAAGUCUGUUCAUAAUCAUGGCGGCAAUGGCGGCGGAGG